CACGUAGGGCGCAAGCGUUGUCCGGAAUUAUUGGGCGUAAAGAGCGUGUAGGCGGCUAGAUAGGUCCGUUGUGAAAACUCGAGGCUCAACCUCGAGACGUCGAUGGAAACCAUCUGGCUAGAGUCCGGAAGAGGAGAGUGGAAUUCCUGGUGUAGCGGUGAAAUGCGCAGAUAUCAGGAAGAACACCCGUGGCGAAGGCGGCUCUCUGGGACGUGACUGACGCUGAGACGCGAAAGCGUGGGGAGCGAACAGG
rnacentral:rRNA from 1 species